GGAAGUAAAAGUCGUAACAAGGUUUCCGUAGGUGAACCUGCGGAAGGAUCAUUAAAAAAUGGAGUGGCCGUUGUUUUGGUCACCAUUAAUAAUCCUACCCUUUGUGAAUUUGUUUUUGUGUAAUAAUUUUUUUCCAAUGAAAAAAUUAUUUGUCCAUCCCUGAAGAAAAGUUGAAUAUACUUUUUUUUAGGGAGUAGAUUUUAGUAAUUUUUUCAGUGAAAAGACCUUUUUUUUAAAUUAAACUUUUGUAUUCAUUUGUCUAAAUUGUAAAAAAAAUAAUUUAAAAACAGCUUUUGACAAUGGAUCUCUUGGUUCUCGCAACGAUGAAGAACGCAGCAAAAUGCGAUAAGUAAUGUGAAUCGCAGAAUACGUGAAUCAUCAAAUCUUCGAACGCAUAUUGCACUUUUUUAGUUUACUAAAAAAGUAUGUCUGUUUGAGUAUCAGUAAAAUAUUCUCAUAAAAGCGUUGCGCUUUUUAUGGUUAUGAGUGUUUUACAACGAUAAACAAGUUGUUUCACUUUAAAUUCAUUUUUUAAAGCCAUCCGUUUUGGUUUUAAAAAUAAUUAAAAUUGGAUAAAAUUUUCCUGUAAAAAGGAAUAACCUAUUUCAGUUUUAGUUUUUUUAAAUCCAAGGCCAAGGCCAAACAAAAGGAAUUUUCAAAUACAAUCAACUUGAUCUCAAAUCAGAUAAGAGUACCCGCUGAACUUAAGCAUAUCAAUAAGCGGAGGAAAAGAAACUAACAAGGAUUCCCUUAGUAACGGCGAGUGAAGCGGGAAGAGCUCAAAUUUGAAAUCUUCAAGGUUCUACCUUGACGAAUUGUAGUUUAAAGAAGUGUUUUCUGUUAGUGGAGUGGCAAAAGUUCUUUGGAAUAGGACAUCAUAGAGGGUGAGAAUCCCGUAUUUGGUCAUUCCUCCUAGCUUUGUGAUACACUUUCAAAGAGUCGGAUUGUUUGGGAAUGCAGUCCAAAAUGGUGGUAAAUUUCAUCUAAAGCUAAAUACUGGCGAGAGACCGAUAGCGAACAAGUACCGUGAGGGAAAGAUGAAAAGAACUUUGAAAAGAGAGUUAAACAGUACGUGAAAUUGUCAAAAGGGAAGCGUUUGACACCAGUGUUGUUGUGGAGAAAUCAAUUGUGUGGAACGGGUUGUUGUGGGGUUGAGACCUUAUCAGCUCUCCUUACUCUUUACCUUUUUCACGCAAUGCACUUUCUCUUUAAC
rnacentral:misc_RNA from 1 species